rnacentral:lncRNA from 1 species
GAACGUGGACAAAGUGCGCUGCUGAUUGGGCUCAAAUCACCCUUGUAAUUGUCUUUUCUCUAAUAGUUAGAGGAAAUGGACAUUGGCGCCAAACGGAAACGGAUACCCCAAGAGUGUGUGUAGCCGGAAAUCGGCAUUGGCGCCAAGCGGAAACGGAAACGCAAAGUGAGAAUGGAGCCGGAAAAUGCUGCAUUCGAGUCAUUUAUGAGGAAACUACCGUAAAGAUUUUAAAGUACAGUGCUUUGAUUUACUUUCACGGAAAAAUUGUUCCUCGUUCUGAAUCAAUGCUUUUGUUCGCUGAUUUAAACUCGAGUGAUAUGACUGGGGAUCCCCAUUACUUCUUUGGACUGGAAAUUUCAAAUAUGGAGAUGAUUGGGCAGAUCAAAAAGAGAGAAAAUAGGAAGAAAGGAAUGAAGAAGAAAUGUAUCCGGCUGGGACUCUUCUGGAGAUGAUUCUUGACCUACAACUUGGAAAUUCCCGGGUUUCGCUGCAAAUAUUGGUUGAUCUGAUUUUGUCAUACUGAACUUGCGCAACCGGGUGAGGUGAAAACCAAUUUGAAAGGUUAGUGCUCUUAGAACGAACGAAUGGGUAGAACAUACCCAUGAAAUUAUUGGGGUUUACACCUUUCAAGGAUUUUCGUUCAUGAGAAUGAGAACGUUAAAAACUCGAUGGUAUAUACAUAAGUGCGACUCGGAGGACGAAACAUACAGCAAUACUGCCGUGCCAGGGAAAAACGCCGUAUGAACAUUCGAGAGUUGCCAAAUUUCCCUUGGUAAAGCAUGUAUUUUGACGACAUUCGUGCAUAUUUUCCUUGAAAUUUUCGGGUAUUUUAGAGCAAAUUUCGUAAAAAAUUGUCUGAACAUUUCCGAAAAAAAUAUUCAAAAUUUUACCAGUAAAUUCGGUUUUUAGUGAGGGAAAUCUGGUAGCGUCUAAAGGUUCAUACGGCGUUUUUCCUUAGCAUGGCAGAAUAGCGCUGCACCCGCGGUCUAACCAAAAAUUGAGAAAACACAACAAGGUAAACAAGUACUGCGUGUGUGUUUUCAUUUCGUCAUGAAUCGGCAUCUUUUGUCGGGCUAAAAAAGAGAUGUGCAGUGCCCUAUACAGUUGGGGUGGGGCGGGGGGAACAGACACCGAACACGGAUGUACAGGAAUAUAAAUAUAUGAAUAUCACAAAUAACUCAAUAAAAAAGAACGCGUAACAAAACACAAUGAAAUACAAAAUCUAACACCGCAUCUAUGCUGGUCUGAGUUUUACAAAACUUUGGCCUCUCACAGAGGGAUCUACCGGAUCAUCUCGCGAAAUCUAUU